UAUCCUGAGUGAAACUACUCACUGUUCCUGUCUUACUUCCUCAGUCAGACUGUCAGCAAAUACAUAGCUUUUAUGUUUUUCCAAGUCAGUAUUUUUUUAAACUUGCCCACAAUGACAUCACUCUCACCCCUAUUUUUUAGUUUUUUAAACAAUAGCAUUUACAACAUCAAUGAACACAGAAAAAUGCGGUCAGCAUUUUCCCUGGCCACAGAAUACCAACGUGUACCUAAAUAUUCCAGGACUGAAUAAUAUUAGGGUUUAUGAAAAAAGUAAAAAAAACCUCCAUCUGGCCUGAAAGCAGGAAGUGACUCAUAUCUGGACAGGAAAAUGUGAAAACCAGAUGAACAUUAUUCAGCUGUUUUCAAACUCCAGACUCAAGGGUUGGUGAGACCUUUCUGCAGUCUUCAGACAGCCCCGUGUGUUGCAUGUCAGCUCCAUGGACGGCGCCACUGAUCCCGUGUGGGCCGGCUGCUGGGGAGCCUUCACUGCAGCGCAGCUCUGCACCAGAUGAAGAGUUCACAGCCAGCUGUCUGCCAGGUGGAACUCUGUCUCCUGCUACCCUUUCUGAGAAUGACACCGUGCUGACCCAGGCUCUGAAGAUCAGUAAGAAAAACGUAACUGAAUAUGGCCCAUAAAGCUCUUGCUGAGGAGUCUGGUUCCAAGUCAGACAGAAGAGGGUGUGCCGUUUCUUCCCCUGCACGCAGCUAUCACCCCCAGACAGAGGGCACGGAGCAGUCCCAGGAGAGCUCUGAAGCCUGAAUAGGAGGAAGAGAGCUGGGAAGAAGACCAGAGUUCAACAUUCCAACACACCAGCGGCACCAACAGACGCUGAGAUCUGAACCACAGACUACAUCACCGCCCAAGUCUCGGACUGGUCACCAGGUAAUGCACACACAGGACAGAUCUAAAUAGCGCUGCAGAGGCUUUGAAAACUGAACUCACAUGGAACCACAACCCACAAAAAGCUAGUCAGAAAUUGCAGCCUGAAACUAACCGGUUGAUUGCUUGCUAAAACAAAAACUGAAGACCAACAAAGUUAGUGCACACCAGAUGCUUUUCUAAACCAGCGCGUAGCACUGCCUGUUUUGAUGCCAAACCUUAAAAUAAACCAAAUUAAAUAAUGAUGGUUAUAGAAAAAACUUUUUUUUUAAUUUAAAAAGAAAGUUAUACCUAAUUACUGAUGCAGUUUAGAAACCUGAUACAAAGUUUCUGUUACAAAUACCUUUGUUGUAAGGUGCAGUGGAGUUGACUCUGACACAUGGCGACCCCAUGUGUGCAGAGCAGAACUGUUCCACUGGGUUUUUAGGUACCGCUUACUCCUAACAUUGACAGACUGCUUUAUUCUGCUUAUAAUUCAAACGACUUACUAGAUAGCAAUAAACUGUCUUCCUGAACAGUGUACCAAUUUACACUCCUACCGUUAGUGUACAAGAAUUUACAUCUCUGCAUAUCCUCAUUUACAUUAUGCUAAUUUCCACUGUCCUCAUCGCUCAUGAAGCUGUGCACCUUUCUGUUAGUAUGUCUGGAUUUUCCCUUCUGUGAACUGCCUAGCAAAGCCUUUUCCAAGGUUUUAUGUUUGGCUGUUGGAUGUGUUCGUAUUCAAUUGAAGGAAUUCUUGAAAUCUUUCCCUACCCCUAGGUCAUGAAGAUAUUCUUCUUUAUUAGACUCUAAAACUGUAAGAACUUUUUAUUAUAGAAAAUUUCAAAUAUAUACAAAGUGAUGUAAAACAAACCCCAUGGACCCUAUCACCCAGCUACAUGGACCACAAAGUCAGGACC